CCACCAUCACCCCAGCAGCCAUGGCCACACUGAAUAAACUGGCCCAGAUCACACAUGGUGUCAGAGAGAAAACGUAAGUUUCUUAAGGGAAAGUAUGCUGAAGUUGAAGAGCCUGAGAUACCCUAAAUAUCUAGCAGUACUUCAAAGGCGGCCGAUAGAAGACAGGAUGGAUGAAUUUAGGUACACUGCCAGAGUAAUGGGGUUUGUGAGUCUGAUGCUACAUGCCGGAAAUGUUUCUGAAUAUCUUCCAGUGAUGCAGCCCUUGCCUCCAUCCACCAAAAUGAUCACUGUCAGCAUCUCUAGGCAACUGAACACAGAACUGCCAAGAUCCCCAAGCACCCGGUGUAACUGCCAAGGAUGCUGGAUGUGCUUCCAAGUACCUUGGUGAAUCCAUCUUGGAUCAUCUGUCCUCUGAUGUCCAAGCCAGGAGGAAAACCUGUUCCCAGACAGAGCCUGGAGCUUUAGAAACUAGGUAACUACCCACCAAGGAGACACUGAAUACUUUUGCCUGCCUGUGAAGUAAUUGCGAUAGAAAGGAAUCAAUUAUGGGCCCAUCUGCGGUUCAUUAAUAUGAUCUGUUGAAAAGGAGGCCAAAUUCAUCAAGUCUACCCAAAAGUCUAAAAAUAGGACUAAUGUGAGCCUGGCCUGGAGCAUGUCAGGCAAUAAAAAGAUCCUUACAUCUGCUGGAGUAGGAGUCCCUGGACACUUCCUCACUCUUUACUACUUCUCCUCAGUGGUAAUUGGGAAUGGAGGCAUUUAUUUUCUUUCCAGAAAAAGAGAAAAACAUUCCAUGAGGAUCACUGUGGCCAAAAAUAUCAUCCUGUGCUGGAGACAGGGAAGAAAAGGAUUGGCUGGCUUGUUCCACACAUCUUCCAUGUUCCAAACAUCAGUAAAGAGACUCCUCUUAAAUUGUGCAAAGAGACACAGCUCCCUGAGAAGAUGUUGGAUGGCCCUAGGGCAGCAAUCCUCAAAGUGUGAUGUAAACCAUGGUUGUAGGAAACACACAGAUGAGGAAACCUAGGCUUUGGAAGUUCUCCUGUUGUCAUGGCAAGGAAGCUAACUACAGCAAGACUCCUGUGGCCUUUUAUAGAAGGGCCCUGAAAGUUCUGGCUUCACUUUCAUUUCCUGCACCCCCCUACAUUUACAUAGGCAAACAGGGUUCUAUUGCACUUCCUCCAAGCCACUUCCGGGAGCUGUCAGCCUCAUCAGUGGUGUUCCUCUUGUCUGCCACAGUGGCUGAGCUGAGUCAGGCCCCCAUCCCACACUGAUUCAUGCCCUUGGCUCUUGUUUUAUCACACUGCCCAUGGAGGAAGGUAAUGAGUUCCCUGAAGUUCCAAGGAGGUGACUAUCUUGCCUGAAAUGGGCUAGAGAAGUGUGGACAGAGAUUGGGGUUGCAAAAACACCCCACUUCUUAGAGGAGCCUUACAGAGCUCCCAAUGUUUUCUGGAUUUGACCCUGUCAUAGUGUUGGUAGAACUGCAUCUGACGAAAGAAAUCAAUCAUUCCAGUGCCCUGUGAUCCAUUUGCAUUACCUGGUGAGUACAAACCAUGUGGAGAUGCUGGUUCCGCCACUGGCUGGUACUGCACUGUAAGGGCUGAGACAAGGUCUACAUUUUGACAGUGUCGCCUCACUGGAUCCAGUAGGCUGCCCUGAACUCCAGAGCGCUGGGAAAUGUCUGCUAUCUAGUGCAAGGCCCUCUUAUAGAGUCAGGGAGACUGGAAGGCCCCAUCUCUGAGUAUGACAUUUUUCAAUGAUUCCUAAUUUGUUGAGACACAGUCUCUGUGAGUUAAAAGGAAUACAUAUGGGUAGCCCUACAACUGAGGGGAAAGAUGCAGAAGAGAGAACUCAAGUGUUCCCCAGUGACAUUCAGGCUACACUGAGAAGCGCUUGACUUUGGGCUGUUAAUUAACCCCUGCUCUCCUUUUCUGGGGAGAAGCGUGUUCUAGUGACAGAUGCCUCUGUGUGCAGCCCUGGAGGCAGUGAGAACAAUGUCACCUCCCACUGCACGGCUUCUCUUCAUACAGCAUGACUGGAUGGCGUUCAGAAAACAGAAGUGGGCCUGGGCUGUACACGAAUAAGGAACUCAUUAGAGAGGCCGAGUCCUGUCCUAGGGGAGGAAAAUGAUGCACUUAUGUGGCAAGCACAGGGUUCUCUUCCAACAUCUGCUUUACUUUUUCCAAAUCCUAUGCAAAGAAGUAUUCUACAGAUGCUCUGACGGCAGCAGCUUGGCAGCAUUUAUUCCCAAUAUUCAGUGACCACUUCUGCAUAUGGCCCUACUGAUAUAAGCUUCCUAGAAUAACCAAAUUCAUGAGGAGAGAAAGCAGAAUGGUGGGUGCCAUGGGCUGGGAAAAGGAGAAAAGGGAGCUUUUGUUUAAUGGGGACAGAGUUUCCACCUGGGAAGAGGGAAAAGUUCUAGAGCUGCGCAGUGGUGAUGCUGUACCACAAUGUGAAUGUACUUACUGACACUGAGGAAUACUCAAAAUCCUUAGUUUUAUGUGGUGUACAUUUGCCACAAUAAAAAUUUUGAUUACAAAGAAU